UAGUGUCUUCCCUGCAGGUGUCUAUAGAAUGGGUUCAGGACAGCAGCUGAGAGAGAGCUUUAUAGGCCUUCUGGUCUGAUAGUGAAAGCCCUGGAGAUGUUAUCUGUGGGUGGACUUUAAAAAAAAAGUCUGUGACACUGGAGACACUGAAUGAAAGACAGGGAGGUGUUUAUAGGACUGAACAUUUCCUUUAUAGUUUUACUAUACAAUAUGCCCUAGAACUGUCCUAUUUAUAUAGUAGAUUAAACACUCUAGAACACAACAAAUGCCAGAAAGAUAAAGUUAGUAAACACUAACUCAGAGAUGAACAAGACAUUUUAUUUUCAGUAGAGUUUGCUUUGUCUGUGAAAUUAGCUUUCCUUUCCUCUUUCUGGUUUUAUUAAAAUGUGUCACAGCCGCUUUUACGAAGAACAUUUGAUGCAUUUUUUUAAUCUCUCAGGUUUUUUUGUCACUUGCCUCUUUUGC